rnacentral:rRNA from 1 species
CACGUAGGGGGCAAGCGUUGUCCGGAUUUAUUGGGCGUAAAGAGCUCGUAGGCGGCUCAGUAAGUCGGGUGUGAAACCUCCAGGCUCAACCUGGAGACGCCACCCGAUACUGCUGUGGCUUGAGUCCGGUAGGGGAGCGUGGAAUUCCUGGUGUAGCGGUGAAAUGCGCAGAUAUCAGGAGGAACACCAAUUGCGAAGGCAGCUCGCUGGGACGUUACUGACGCUGAGACGCGAAAGCGUGGGGAGCAAACAGG